AGAGAAACAUACAAUACCGAGAAUUUUAUUAUCGUUAUCAGAAAAAGAAGGUAGAGAAGGGAGGGAAGCGAAGCCAAGCAAAGCAAAGCGAAGUCGGAGGGUUUCGUUACUGAUGGACGGCGUCAAGAUGUAUAAGCAGUUCUCUAAACUGCUGUUGCUUGCUAAAAUUUGUGGUCUCGAAGAUGAGCUAGAGUAAAAGUCGUCCGCGUCACAAGACGCAAAAGAGGUGUGACCGAGUACUGAAAAAGUAAAAUCAUGAGGGGCUAGAGUUUUCAGAAAAAGGACGAAGAGAAGGGAAGAGAAGCGAAGGCAAGCAAGCCGAAGCGAAGUCGGAGGGCUUCGUUACUGAUGGACAUCGUCAAGAUGCAUAGACAGUUCUCUAAACUGCCGUUGCUUGCUAAAAUUUAUAUCUUUCCGGUGUCUGUAGUUACUCUGAUGGGUAUCGGCGCUCUGAUUGCUCAUGAGAGAAAUCAACUCGUGAAAUAUCUCCAAAAACGGUAUCCUGAUUUAUGAGCAAGAGAAGAUGAUGACAAUGGAAUAGUCCUUUUCUAGGGGCAGAAUAAUAAUGAUAAGCACUACUAAACUGUGCACGCCUUUUAUGAAUUUGUGUUAAAGGAUUGCUAGAAAAUAUUCUAAGGAUUUCUUUGAACUUAAUAGCAUUUUGACCUCAACUUUGUCA